UGAUAGCGAUGAAGGAGAAGAUUACUAUAGAAGCGAAAACCGUAAGGCAUAAGUUUCUACAGAGAACUUUCCGGAGCGAAUGUCAAGUUUAGAAACUGACGGCAG
rfam:Oribacterium sp. ACB1 genomic scaffold acqcx-supercont2.1, whole genome shotgun sequence.